AGCUACUUUUUGGAAUCUUCAUUCUUAGAAAACCCUUUGUUACGAAAUAUGCUCAGGACUGGAAAGGAAACGAGGUUCAGUCAGCGAUACCCUCAGUGUGAACUCUGGAAUAGCAUUUCCUUUUGAAAGAUUCAUCCUCAUUUUGCUCCUGACUUCGUGCUGGUGUGUGAUGACUGUGUUUCCUGGGGAUUUCCAACCUGAGCAGUCAUCAGCCCAGGCCCAAGGACAGAGGACACCCACCCUGAGGACAGAGAUGGCUGUAUUGCUUGCAUGACCACUUCUGUCCCACAGUGGAAGACAAAGGGAAUCAAGAGGCUGUGCUUGUGUGACCCUGGCUCCUGAAGUUCUUCUGUGGCAUCGUGAUGAUUUUCUUAUGACUGGCUCCCCCACCGGACAGCUGUCUGGGCUCUUCAAAGACACCCCCAACACCUCCACCUCGCAUGACCCCCAUUGCUAGCUGUUUAGUGAAUGCAUGAAUGUACAUGUGAAUGACCUCUGAACUUUGAUCCAGGCCAGGGUGAGCUUCAGGUACAGGGAGAGAAGACAGCUGCCUCUGUGGUGUGAUCUGGGGGCUUCAAGAAGUUUCUUCACUCUGGUGCCACCUUCCUCGGAUCUUCCUUUUCUUUCCGUUUUAUUGAGAUACACUUAAGACACAGCAGUAAGUUAAAGAUGUACAGCAUAAUGAGUUGACUUACAUAUAUUAUGAAAUGAUCACCACAAUUAGUUAAAAUUUAUUAUCUCAUAUAGAGGCAAAAAAAAAAAAGGUUUGAAUGUUUUUCUAGUGCUGAGAACUUUUAGGAUUUAUACUUUCAUCAACUGUCCAACAUACACAACAGUGUUUGCCAAAAUCAUGGAGUCACACAUUAUAUCCCUGGUACUUAUUGAUCUUAUGACUGCAAGUUUGUGUCUUUCGACCACCUUCUCCAAAGACCACCCCCACGCCUCCUUCCUGGGUUAACCACAAAUCUCAUCUCUUUUUCUCUGAGUUUGGGGUUUCACUUUUGUCUCUUUUUAAAAUUCCAGAUGUAAGUGAAGAGGCCUAGAACCUAGAACCUACUGGUGUCUCAGCAAAUGGCUACACAGAAACAAGGUCCAGGAGAAUCGGCUCCCAGGGUUUCUAGAGCACACAGCAGUUUCAGGCAGCUGCCAGCCUGGGGUCUUCCCCACCCAGAGUUUCUGAAGGCUGCAUUUCGGUGGCCUCAGAGCUGAGAGGAAGGGAGCCAGGGACAGGGAGGGGUGGGGAGGAAGGCUUGUCUGUCCCAGUGAAGCCCCGUCCACCAAGGCCAGCUCCACUUCUGUUCUCACUGCCCAGCCUCCCAAGGACAAUGAAGGGGCUGCGCUGUGGGGAGAGGGGUGACUUGUCUCCUUUCCCAGCCAUCAAAUGAGGAAGCAGGGUCCACACCCUAACUCUCAGCCUCAAGGGAGUACAGGAUGUCCUAACACGUCCUGUAGAACGACUUAGUAAUUUUCCAGUUACUAAUUUGCCUUACCUGUUCUGUUCAAACAGGCUAAUUGUUUCCUCAAAAAGACUCAAGUGUAGUGGGAUGAGGUCACCAGAGACAUGCCUAAACAAUUACAAACUCUGGUCGUGGGCGCGCCAAGAGACUGGUAACCAGCUCCUCAGACAAUGUUGGUCUGAUGUUAUCUUUUCUAAAGCAAAUUCGGUGAGGAUGCGCCUCCUGGUGGUAAGAUGCGAUUCUGCCAGGCAGGAAGACCCCCCAAAGUGAUUCCUUCCCUGGAUAGAACAACUGGGCGUAGGUGCUGCUUUUGGAACGUUCUCUGUAAAGAACAUUACUGUUAUUUCUCAGUAACUAUUUAUUGAUUGAAAUAUGAAAUAAAUGUGAUUAAUAUAAUCCAUUCAUAAUUGUGAUCUCGGAAGGUGUGAAUUUUAAUCAAAGCAAAAAAUCUGCAAAGGCAGAAAACAGGGAAAAUUGAUCUAUGGUCUGAUAAGGAAAGAGAAUAUAAUUUUGAAAACUUCCAUAUACUUUCUGGCUUUUAUAUUGUGGGUAUUAUAUUCUCUAUUGACUUAGAACAAUUCCAUUUUUUUAUUACAAAAAAAUUCAAAUAUACCAAAAAAUAGAACAGUAAAUCCCCAUAUAGUCACUACCUAGGUUCCAGAGCUGUCAUGAUUUUGUCAUGCUCACUUUUUAUGACCCAUUAAAUGUUUCACCCUUAGAUAUUAUAGCCCCGACAUCAUGUUACAUUACCAUAAAUAUUUCAGUAUGCAUUUCUUUUUUUUCCCCUAAGAUUUUAUUUAUUUGUCAGAGAGAAAGAGAGAGAGGAGAAGCAGGGGGAGUAGCAGGCUCCCCACUGAGCAGGGAGCCUGAUGCAGGACUCAAUCUGAGGACCUUGGGAUCAUGACCUGAGCUGAAGGCAGCCAUCUGACAGAGUCACCCAGGCGUCCCUCAAUUGAUUUAUUUGUUUGAGAGAGAGUGCAAGCGCACAUAUGGGCAGAACGAGAGGGAGAGAGAAUCUCAACCAGACUCCCUGCAGAAUGUGGAGACUGAUGUGGGGCUGAUCCUACAACCCAUGAGAUCACGGCCUGAGCAAAAUCACAAGGUGGAUGCUCAAAUGUCUGAGUCAUCCAGGUGCCCCGAUUUGCUUUGAUCAAUAGUAUAUGACAGAUGUAAUAUACAAAUUCCAGAGUGGGGACCUUAAGGAACCUUGAGAUUUUGCCAUCACUCUCUUGGAACCUCUCUGUGCUGCAGAGAAGUUCACAAGCUUACUAGCUCACUAAGAGGCCACAAGGAAAAGAACUGAGGAGCCCAGUCAACAACUGAGGAGCCCAGUCAACAGCCAACGCCAACUGCCUGUUAAGCAAAUGAGACAUUUGGACUCUCUAUCCAACACUGCUCUGUCAAGAUGACUGCAGCUGUAAGAGUGGUCUUAGGAGAAACCUACAGAAUUGUGAGAAAUAAUAAAGCAUUACUGUUUUAAGUCA